AACGUACGCUGGCGGCACGCCUAACACAUGCAAGUCGAACGAAGUAGCAAUACUUAGUGGCAGACGGGUGAGUAACAUGUAGGUAUCUGCCCUUUGGCCUGGAAUAACACGAGGAAACUUGUGCUAAUACCGGAUAAGUCUUUACGGAGAAAGCUUUAUGCACCAUUGGAUGAGCCUGCACUUGAUUAGUUUGUUGGUGGGGUAAUGGCCUACCAAGACUGUGAUCAAUAGCUGAUUUGAGAGGAUGAUCAGCCACAUUGGGACUGAGACACGGCCCAAACUCCUACGGGAGGCAGCAGUGGGGAAUCUUGCACAAUGGAGGAAACUCUGAUGCAGCGAUGCCGCGUGAGUGAAGAAGGCCCUUGGGUUGUAAAGCUCUUUCGUCGGGGAAGAAAAUGACUGUACCCGAAUAAGAAGGUCCGGCUAACUUCGUGCCAGCAGCCGCGGUAAUACGAAGGGACCUAGCGUAGUUCGGAAUUACUGGGCUUAAAGAGUUCGUAGGUGGUUGAAAAAGUUAGUGGUGAAAUCCCAGAGCUUAACUCUGGAACUGCCAUUAAAACUUUUCAGCUAGAGUAUGAUAGAGGAAAGCAGAAUUUCUAGUGUAGAGGUGAAAUUCGUAGAUAUUAGAAAGAAUACCAAUUGCGAAGGCAGCUUUCUGGAUCAUUACUGACACUGAGGAACGAAAGCAUGGGUAGCGAAGAGGAUUAGAUACCCUCGUAGUCCAUGCCGUAAACGAUGUGUGUUAGACGUUGGAAAUUUAUUUUCAGUGUCGCAGGGAAACCGAUAAACACACCGCCUGGGGAGUACGACCGCAAGGUUAAAACUCAAAUGAAUUGACGGGGACCCGCACAAGUAGUGGAGCAUGUGGUUUAAUUCGAAGAUACGCGCAGAACCUUACCAACACUUGACAUGUUCGUCGCGACUCUAAGAGAUUGGAGUUUUCGGUUCGGCCGGACGAAACACAGGUGCUGCAUGGCUGUCGUCAGCUCGUGUCGUGAGAUGUUGGGUUAAGUCCCGCAACGAGCGCAACCCUCACUUUUAGUUGCCAUCAUUAAGUUGGGCACUCUGAAAGAACUGCCAGUGAUAAGCUGGAGGAAGGUGGGGAUGACGUCAAGUCCUCAUGGCCCUUACGUGUUGGGCUACACACGUGCUACAAUGGUAUCUACAACAGGAAGCAAGACUGCGAAGUUAAGCAAAUCCCUAAAAGAUACCUCAGUUCGGAUUGCACUCUGCAACUCGAGUGCAUGAAGCUGGAAUUACUAGUAAUCGUGGAUCAGCGUGCCACGGUGAAUGCGUUCCCGGGUCU
rnacentral:rRNA from 1 species